UACAGAGGGUGCGAGCGUUGUUCGGAUUUACUGGGCGUAAAGGGCGCGUAGGCGGCCACCGCAAGUCGACUGUGAAAUCUCCGGGCUUAACCCGGAAAGGUCAGCCGAUACUGCGGGGCUAGAGUGCAGAAGGGGCAACUGGAAUUCUCGGUGUAGCGGUGAAAUGCGUAGAUAUCGAGAGGAACACCUGCGGCGAAGGCGGGUUGCUGGGCUGACACUGACGCUGAAGCGCGAAAGCUAGGGGAGCGAACGGG
rnacentral:rRNA from 1 species